CUUCAACACAUAGGCUGGUGCUGUGAGGGAGCCGGGGCGCAGAGAUCAACCCAUUGUUAUCGAGGAAGAUGAAGAAGAUGAACACGAGGCAGCUCAACAGGGUGCCAUUCAUGUUAAUACUGAGAAUCUAUCUUAUGAGGAAUUGCUGGCACUUGAAGAGCAUAUGGGAGAUGCAAGCACCGGAUUGAAGAAGAAAGUUAUUUCUACACUUCUGAAGCAGCACAAGUAUCAAUCGACCAACAUGAACGAUAGCAAUGACUCCUGCUGUGUAUGCUUGGAUACUUUUGGCGACGGGGACAAUGUUGGACAACUUGAUUGUGGCCAUGAAUUCCAUUAUGAUUGCAUCAGAAAGUGGCUGAGGGGCAAGAAUUGUUGUCCUAUUUGCAAAAGGACUGCUUUGACACCAUGAGAUAGUAUUUCAUGGUUCUUGUUUUGACCAACCGUUUCUAGUAUGCUCAAGAACAAUUUUCUUUAAGUCCUGUUUUCAGUUGAUUGGCUUGGCGGACAAGACGGGGGAGUAAAAUUAUCCAAUUUUUAUUCAGUUUGGUGUCUUUUGUUGUUUUUCAGUAUUAAUCAGAUUGUAACUGGGGAUAUCUCAGUUCUAGCUUGAACAAUGGUGUUUUGGGCUUUUCCAGUUUGCUGUUUUUGUGGAUUUUCAGUAUUAAGUUGGUGCUAGCUGGGACCUUUGAGAUGCCAGUUUUUGCUCAAGUAUUAAUA